rnacentral:rRNA from 1 species
UACAGAGGGUGCAAGCGUUAAUCGGAAUUACUGGGCGUAAAGGGCGCGUAGGUGGGAUUGUAAGUCAGAUGUGAAAGCCCUGGGCUUAACCUGGGAACUGCAUAUGAAACUGUAAUUCUAGAGUAGAGUAGAGGGUAGUGGAAUUUCCGGUGUAGCGGUGAAAUGCGUAGAUAUCGGAAGGAACACCAGUGGCGAAGGCGGCUACCUGGACUCUAACUGACACUGAGGCGCGAAAGCGUGGGUAGCGAACAGG